CCCUUAGAUGUUCUGGGCCGCACACGCGCUACACUGAAGGAGGCAGCGUGUACUCCUGGAUCGAAAGAUUUGGGUAACCCGCGAAUCUCCUUCGUGCUAGGGAUUGAGGUUUGCAAUUAUCCUUCAUGAACGAGGAAUUCCCAGUAAGUGCAAGUCAUAAGCUUGCGCUGACUACGUCCCUGCCCUUUGUACACACCGCCCGUCGCUACUACCGAUUGAAUGAUCCGGUGAAUAAUUCGGACUGCAGCACUGCUUGGUCUCCAGGCUUUGCAGCGGAAAGUUUAGUGAACCUUAUCACUUAGAGGAAGGAGAAGUCGUANCA
rnacentral:rRNA from 1 species